ACGUAGGGUGCGAGCGUUAAUCGGAAUUACUGGGCGUAAAGGGCGCGUAGGCGGCCCGCUAAGUCGAACGUGAAAUCCCUCGGCUCAACCGAGGAACUGCGUCCGAUACUGGAUGGCUUGAGUCCGGGAGAGGGAUGCGGAGUUCCAGGUGUAGCGGUGAAAUGCGUAGAUAUCUGGAGGAACACCGGUGGCGAAGGCGGCAUCCUGGACCGGAACUGACGCUGAGUGAGCGAAAGCCAGGGGAGCAAACGGGA
rnacentral:rRNA from 1 species